rnacentral:rRNA from 1 species
AAUUGGAGGGCAAGUCUGGUGCCAGCAGCCGCGGUAAUUCCAGCUCCAAUAGCGUAUAUUAAAGUUGUUGCAGUUAAAAAGCUCGUAGUUGAAUUUCGGGAUCAAUAUUUCGGUCAUGCCGUUGGUAUGCACUGUUAUCAUUGAUUUCUCACCUUCUAAAGAACCGUAAUGCCAUUAAUUUGGUGUUACGGGGAAUUAGGACUGUUACCUUGAAAAAAUUAGAGUGUUUAAAGCAGGCUCACGCUUGAAUACAUUAGCAUGGAAUAAUGAAAUAGGACAUCCGAUUCUAUUUUGUUGGUUUCUAGGAUCGAUGUAAUGAUUAAUAGGGAUAGUUGGGGGCAUUAGUAUUCAAUUGUCAGAGGUGAAAUUCUCGGAUUUAUUGAAGACUAACUACUGCGAAAGCAUUUGCCAAGGAUGUUUUCAUUAAUCAAGAACGAAAGUUAGGGGAUCGAAGACGAUCAGAUACCGUCGUAGUCUUAACCAUAAACUAUGCCGACUAGGGAUCGGAUGAUGUUAAUUUUUUAAUGACUCAUUCGGCGCCUUACGGGAAACCAAAGUGU